rnacentral:rRNA from 1 species
UACAGAGGUCCCAAGCGUUGUUCGGAUUCACUGGGCGUAAAGGGUGCGUAGGCGGUUGGGGUAAGUCUGAUGUGAAAUCUCACAGCUUAACUGUGAAACUGCAUUGGAUACUAUCCGGCUAGAGGAAUGGAGGGGAGACUGGAAUACUUGGUGUAGCAGUGAAAUGCGUAGAUAUCAAGUGGAACACCAGUGGCGAAGGCGAGUCUCUGGACAUUUCCUGACGCUGAGGCACGAAAGCCAGGGGAGCAAACGGG